rnacentral:rRNA from 1 species
UGCGCAGGCGGAAUAAUUAGUCAGUGGUGAAAUCUCCCGGCUCAACCGGGAAACUGCCAUUGAUACUGUUAUUCUUGAGUAUAGUUGUAGUGGGCGGAAUAUAGCAUGUAGCGGUGAAAUGCUUAGAUAUGCUAUAGAACACCGAUCGCGAAGGCAGCUCACUAAACUAUAACUGACGCUCAGGCACGAAAGCGUGGGGAGCAAACAGGAUUAGAUACCCUGGUAGUCC